rnacentral:rRNA from 1 species
AUUAAUGGCUUUGCUGAACCGAAUGCACCCAAUUACAACUGAUCUUGUUUGGAAGCUGAGUAGUCUUGGGCCUGGCUAGUAUGUGGAUAGGAGAAUCCCAGGUGCUCUAAGCA